rnacentral:rRNA from 1 species
GACGUAGGGCGCGAGCGUUGUCCGGAUUUAUUGGGCGUAAAGGAGCUCGUGAGGCGGCUUGUUGCGUCAGCUGUGAAAACCGCAGCUCAACUGUGGCUUGCAGCUGAUACGGGCAGGCUUGAGUUCGGUGAGGGGAGACUGGGAAUUCCUGGUGUAGCGGUGAAAUGAGCGCAGAUAGUCAGGAGGGAACACCGGUUGGCGAAGGCGGGUCACCUGGUCCAU